CACGUAGGGACCAAGCGUUGUCCGGAUUCAUUGGGCGUAAAGAGCUCGUAGGCGGCUCAGUAAGUCGGGUGUGAAACCUCCAGGCUCAACCUGGAGACGCCACCCGAUACUGCUGUGGCUAGAGUCCAGUGAGGGGAGCGUGGAAUUCCUGGUGUAGCGGUGAAAUGCGCAGAUAUCAGGAGGAACACCAGCGGCGAAGGCGGCGCUCUGGGCUGGAACUGACGCUGAGGAGCGAAAGCGUGGGGAGCGAACAGG
rnacentral:rRNA from 1 species